GAUGAACGCUGGCGGCGUGCCUAAUACAUGCAAGUCGAGCGAACGGACGAGAAGCUUGCUUCUCUGAUGUUAGCGGCGGACGGGUGAGUAACACGUGGAUAACCUACCUAUAAGACUGGGAUAACUUCGGGAAACCGGAGCUAAUACCGGAUGAUAUUUUGAACCGCAUGGUUCAAAAGUGAAAGACGGUCUUGCUGUCACUUAUAGAUGGAUCCGCGCUGCAUUAGCUAGUUGGUAGGGUAACGGCUUACCAAGGCGACGAUGCAUAGCCGACCUGAGAGGGUGAUCGGCCACACUGGAACUGAGACACGGUCCAGACUCCUACGGGAGGCAGCAGUAGGGAAUCUUCCGCAAUGGGCGAAAGCCUGACGGAGCAACGCCGCGUGAGUGAUGAAGGUCUUCGGAUCGUAAAACUCUGUUAUUAGGGAAGAACAUAUGUGUAAGUAACUGUGCACAUCUUGACGGUACCUAAUCAGAAAGCCACGGCUAACUACGUG
rnacentral:rRNA from 1 species